GCGAACNGGUGAGUAAUACNUCGNAACGUGCCCAGUCGUGGGGGAUAACGUAGCGAAACGUACUAAUACCGCAUACGAUCUACGGAUGAAAGCGGGGGACUCGCAAGNCCUCGCGCGAUUGGAGCGGCCGAUGNAGAUUAGGUAGUUGGUGGGGUAAAGGCUCACCAAGCCUGCGAUCUGUAGCUGGUCUGAGAGGACGACCAGCCACACUGG
rnacentral:rRNA from 1 species